GCUCCCGUGGCACAGCUGGAUAGCGCGGCCCCCUCCUAAGGGGCAAGUCUCAGGUUCGAAUCCUGUCGGGAGCGCCA
rnacentral:tRNA from 1 species